GCGCAGCAGUUCUUCAGCGGCAUCGCUUUACGUCCCUUUUAAGAAGCUAAAGCUGCGCAGUUGAAGAACUGUUGGCC
rnacentral:pre_miRNA from 2 species